UCGGGAAUUUUGGGCAAUGGGCGCAAGCCUGACCCAGCGACGCCGCGUGAGCGAUGAAGGCCUUCGGGUCGUAAAGCUCUGUCAGAAGGGAAGAGGGGAGCGAGUGCGAAUAGUUCUCGUUCUUGACGGUACCUUCAAAGGAAGCGCCGGCUAACUCCGUGCCAGCAGCCGCGGUAAUACGGAGGGCGCGAGCGUUGUUCGGAAUCACUGGGCGUAAAGCGCGUGUAGGCGGUUAGGACAGUCGGAUGUGAAAUCCCGAGGCUCAACCUCGGAACUGCAUUCGAAACUACCUGGCUAGAGUCUCGGAGAGGAAGGCGGAAUUCCCGGUGUAGGGGUGAAAUCCGUAGAUAUCGGGAGGAACACCAGUGGCGAAGGCGGCCUUCUGGACGAUGACUGACGCUGAGACGCGAAAGCGUGGGGAGCAAACAGGAUUAGAUACCCCCGUAGUCC
rnacentral:rRNA from 1 species